CGGGCCCAUACACCGAGCAAGAGUCCUGUGUUACCUGGUGCCGUGGGGUGGAAGUGGUACUUUCCAGGCUUCCUGUCGGCUCUGCGCCAAGUGAGUUGCUUCACUGCCAGCAGCCUCUGUCCCUCGAGGGGGUCCUGUGGCCUUGCCUGGGGAGGCUCACGCUACGCAGAGGUGGCCCAGGGUGUCUGCCCAUGUGCAGGGCUGGCGCCGUGCUGGCUGAGACAGUGCCUGGUUUGGUCUCGCUGACAGGUAUGUAAAUUGUUGCUCAUGUUUGUUUUUUCUUUUCAGGAUAUAAAUUUCUAGCCAGUUUUCUCCUUUACAAAGUCAACUGUGCUGUCUCGGUUUUGUUUACUAUUUCAUGCAUUCAUUGGUCGUUCACCAGUCCCACUGAUAGGAUCACAGCUCACGCUCCCUCAUGGUUCCCGGGCACCUCAGAAAGCACCCUGGGGAUGCCCCUCAGACUCUGCUAUGGCCCACAGGCCCAGAUCCAUGCCUGUCCAGUGGCUCCGCACAGUGGCAGGCGUGGCUGCUGGUGGGGGUGAUGGUCAGGUUCUGUGGCUCAGAGAGGUUGGCCACGUGUGGCCUGCUGGCCCCUAUAGAGAGAUGUGGAUCCAGGCUUACCAGGCGUCCAUCUGGCCCAUGACUCUGGGCGGGCCUUGAGGGUGCAGGGCCAUCCCGCUGGUGAGUUGCAGGUUGCUGUGGAGGCGCCGGCUAUGACACCUGCUCCACACAGCCUCUGACGGACAGACAAAACAGUCCCUGGAAGGAGCCCAGGUCAGCACUCUUGCAGGCUCUGCCUCAGCAGGGGGAGCCCAGGCUUCUGGCUGGCCGUGUUCAGCACUCUGCUGGCCUCGCCAGCAUCGUGCGUGUGUGGAGACUGCUGAGCCGCUCUCCCCCUCCCCAUGGCCUUGUACAGUCCCAUGGGCUGGAGGCGUCCCCAUGGGAGGGAGCUGGAUACUGCUGCCCUUCCCGCCCAGACACUGCCCGGGUCUCCUGGGGAUGCCCAGUCUGGUGCUGCUCUGGGCCAGCUGGCAAAGCAGGUGCUGCUACAGGAGGAAGAAAGGAGCCUGGGUAAGGGGAUGGCAUGCUGGGGAGCUUGGAGCUGAGUCCUGGCACAGGGGUCCCUCCUAGAGAGCACGGCUUAUGACCCUGAGCACUUUGGGCCCACCUGCCCAGAGUGGGUGCCUCUUGGUUCUCGUCUCAGUGGCUGCAGGCAGGCCUGGCAAUGAGUUUCUUGGUCAUUCAGCCCUAGGGCUCUGUCUGCAUGGCGCUGUGCAGCCCUGGGCAUGGCAGCAGCUGCAUCUCGUCACCACAGCCUGCGCAGGCCACCCGCUCACCUGGUGCCCUCCGAGGCCACAUCUGGUUUCCAUUUCUUCCGUGAGGCUGAAACACACACACACAGCCCCCCUCUCAGAACAUGAGCUGUCUGCUGCGUCAAGUGCCCCGGCCUCCUCCGGGUGAGGGGCUGCGGGCUGCGGGCUGUGGCUGCGCUCUGUUCUGACCCAGGCGUGCCUUGACGUUCUCUUUGAUGUUGUGCAGGCCACAGACAGAGCCUGCCAGCUGUGCUGAGAGCCCUGCCGUGGCCGUGACCAAGUCCUGUUCUUGUGUGGGAUACACAUGAUUGGCAGGUGCAGCCAGACCCCACGUGUGGCCCCGUGGGCUUGUGGAAAGCACAGUCAAGUCCCUGGGAAAGCUCUUACCCAUUUAGAAGGCUAAUUAGGCCAUUUGUCUCUGGGCCUGAUAGCACCCAGAGGGUCUCUGGAUGGAUUUGGAUUUGGUGGUGUUUGGCCUCAUUAGAAAGCCGCUGUGCCCCUUGUCUUUCUUCCUCCCCCUUGCGCACACACUGUGGCCCACCCUGGCCCCUGCAAGUCGUUCCCUUGUCCAAAGCAGGAGCAGCUGACAGAGUAUAGCCCUGUGGGACAGCGGACUGGACUGAGCAGUGUGGGGCAGAAGCAGGAGCUGCGAGCAGUGGCAUGGCUGCACGUGUGGGCACUGGAGCAGGUGACGCAGGCCCAGGGGACACAGCUUCCCCUGGUGUCCUGCACCUCUAGCAGGUGGACUUCCUCUGCUCUAUGGUCACAGCUGCCUCCCAAGGACCUGCGUUGGCCUCCACUCCCUUCCGGAGGGAGGCAGGCUCCGAGCUGGGUCCAUUCACUCCUCCCACCUCAGUCUGGGACAGUGUGAUCCCAAGGCUGUCCCUGUUGGCAGUACUAGGGAUUGAACCAGGACUUUUGUGCUGAGUUACAUUUCCAGCCCUUUUUGAUGUUUUAUUUUGAGACAGGAUCUUGCUAAGCCACUAGGUUACUCAGGCUAAGUUUGACCUCACAAUCCUCUUGCUUCAGCCUCCCAGAGUGCUGGCUACUGAGCAAGUUUUUAAAGCUCCUUUGCUCCCUAGGCCCCUGCUCCUGUUGCAGUUUCUAUGCUGAUUUCACCCUGCCAGACCUGCGAGGGGCAGGAAGAGAUGGUGCUUUCUGGCAGCUGCUGGCCUGCGCAGAGCCUGUGUGAUGUGGGGCUGCUGCACUGUGUUUGAGGAGGAGCGGGUAGCAUCUUCUAGCUGAUGCCCAACUCUGGUGCUGGCCGUGGGGCUGCGUGGGCCCUCUGGGUAUCAAGAGCCGUCACCAAGCCAUGGGGAGGCCUUCGCUCCAGAGAGGUGAGGUGGUGAGGCCUCAUAGCUGAGUGCAGACCAGGUUUUUAAAGCAAGCCCUUAAGGAGUAAUCCUUGCCUCAGGGCAGAAGCCAAGUGUGCCUUGGAUGCUACCUAACCCAGGGGCUGGUUUUAGAAAACCAUCAAAGCGGUUUCUACUGCUUCCUGGGCUGGGAGCAGGUCUCAAGCCCCCCCCCCCGAGUCUGGGCUUUCAGAAUCACCGUCCAGCACUGCUGCAUAUGGGGGUGGCAGCUGGAGGUGACCCUUCCCAUCUCUACUGAGCACAAGGCACUGCAACGGCGGGCCAUGCCAGUGCCCCGCAGCCCUGCCACCUGACCUCCCCGCCUGUGCUUGGGAGUCGAGGCUGGCUCCAGCGUGGUGGUCAGAGCCGCAGCUGAUGAUGUCUCCCCCUUGAGUGAGAUGUGCCACCACCCAAAAGUGUCUGACUGCAGAGAUGGGGCUCUGAGCUGCAGCCUCCACAGAGAUGGGGCUCCCUCUCCCCCUGCUGGCCACAGGAAGUAAGACCAGACAGGCUGCGCGCUGCAUUCCUGCACUCCUGCGUGUGGAAGGAGCCGCGAACUGUGCUGUCACCUUAGCAGUGAGGACACAGAAUAAACAUGAAAUUUCCCUGGCUCUGGGGUAGGCCCUGUGUUCAAUGACCAGUGGUGACAGUUUGGAGGAUGCAUGAGGGAGACCAGGGUAGAGCAGAGCCACAGUGGACCCCACCUCCUUGCGCUCUGGACUCCUGGCUGUGACCUUGCAGGUGGCCACCCCACAUAGCACCAUCUCCUGCUUGCACACUCCAGUUGCCUUUUGAUUGGAAGCAGACAGAGUGCAGGGGUCUUAGCUGCUGGUUUGAAGUUUUGUGUCAGUGUUGCUGCAGCCAGGAGGCACUGCCAGCCAGCCUUUCCUGAGGAAAAGACCACGUCUGCUGCCCACUAGCAGCCACAUGGUGCUGGUCCAGGUAGCUGCUGGGAGGUGUGAGCUGAGAAGCCCUUGCAGCCUCUUGGGCUGUCCCCGGAGCCCAGUGGCUUUCCCAGGAGCAUUUCCAGAGGGGACUCAGGGUGACUGCAUGGUCCUGCAGUCCUGAUGCCCAGGGGAUGCAGGUGCCCCCUGCCCAGCGCUGCACCGAGUCUGUUUCCUGCCCAGGCCACUGCUCGGCAGCUCUGUCCUAUGGAGAGUGGAGUGCCUCUUUGUUUCAUUGUCCCGCCUCCCUACCCCAUCCUAUCUCCUCAUGGCCGGAAGACCCUCUUGAUUUAUGGCCAUUUCUUACUCAGACAUGGACACUGCCAGGGAGGGAGCA